CGGAGUGUAGCACAGUGGUUAAGGAACUGGGCUUGUAACCGAAAGGUCGCAGGUUCGAUUCUAGGACACUUUGU
rnacentral:tRNA from 1 species